AAUGCCUAGGAAUCUGCCUGGUAGUGGGGGAUAACGUUCGGAAACGGACGCUAAUACCGCAUACGUCCUACGGGAGAAAGCAGGGGACCUUCGGGCCUUGCGCUAUCAGAUGAGCCUAGGUCGGAUUAGCUAGUUGGUGAGGUAAUGGCUCACCAAGGCGACGAUCCGUGACUGGUCUGAGAGGAUGAUCAGUCACACUGGAACUGAGACACGGUCCAGACUCCUACGGGAGGCAGCAGUGGGGAAUAUUGGACAAUGGGCGAAAGCCUGAUCCAGCCAUGCCGCGUGUGUGAAGAAGGUCUUCGGAUUGUAAAGCACUUUAAGUUGGGAGGAAGGGUUGUAGAUUAAUACUCUGCAAUUUUGACGUUACCGACAGAAUAAGCACCGGCUAACUCUGUGCCAGCAGCCGCGGUAAUACAGAGGGUGCAAGCGUUAAUCGGAAUUACUGGGCGUAAAGCGCGCGUAGGUGGUUUGUUAAGUUGGAUGUGAAAUCCCCGGGCUCAACCUGGGAACUGCAUUCAAAACUGACUGACUAGAGUAUGGUAGAGGGUGGUGGAAUUUCCUGUGUAGCGGUGAAAUGCGUAGAUAUAGGAAGG
rnacentral:rRNA from 1 species